UACUUUGGUCUUGUAAACCAAAAAUGAAGCUACAAGCUUCUUAGAGCA
rnacentral:tRNA from 1 species